rnacentral:rRNA from 1 species
ACGGGUGAGUAACGCGUGGGAAUCUACCCAUCUCUACGGAAUAACCCAGGGAAACUUGGACUAAUACCGUAUACGCCCUUCGGGGGGAAAGAUUUAUCGGAGAUGGAUGAGCCCGCGUUGGAUUAGCUAGUUGGUGGGGUAAAGGCCUACCAAGGCGACGAUCCAUAGCUGGUCUGAGAGGAUGAUCAGCCACAUUGGGACUGAGACACGGCCCAAACUCCUACGGGAGGCAGCAGUGGGGAAUAUUGGACAAUGGGCGAAAGCCUGAUCCAGCCAUGCCGCGUGAGUGAUGAAGGCCCUAGGGUUGUAAAGCUCUUUCAACGGUGAAGAUAAUGACGGUAACCGUAGAAGAAGCCCCGGCUAACUUCGUGCCAGCAGCCGCGGUAAUACGAAGGGGGCUAGCGUUGUUCGGAAUUACUGGGCGUAAAGCGCACGUAGGCGGAUACUUAAGUUAGGGGUGAAAUCCCGGGGCUCAACCCCGGAACUGCCUUUAAUACUGGGUAUCUCGAGUUCGAGAGAGGUGAGUGGAAUUCCGAGUGUAGAGGUGAAAUUCGUAGA